rnacentral:tRNA from 1 species
AAAGUAGUAAGCUAAUUAAGCUAAUGGGUUCAUACCCCGUCUAUAGAGGCAAAAUCCUCUCCUUUUUA